CUCCAGCUAACUCUGCGCUGCCUGUAGUUGGCUUGGUCACCUCACGGCAGCUUGCACCCCACUAUGGCAGGAGUAAAGGCUUUUCUGAAAAGAUUCUUAGCAGUGACAGAGGUUCGUUCUGGGAAGAUACGUUUGUAAAAGAGGGGGAACUCUGGAAGGUUUAAAACCAAGGAGAUUGAUGUGUCUUUCAAAUAUCUGGUAAAUUAGAUUCAUAUAUUUAGAGUCAUAGAAUAACUUGAGUUGCAUGGGACCUUCAAAGCUCAUCUAGUCCAACCACCUGCAGUGAGCAGGGACAUCUUCACCUAGAGCAAGUUGCCCAGAAUCACAUCCAGCCUGGCCUUGGACAUCUCUAGGGAUGGUGCAUCUACCACCUCUCUGGGCAAUCUGCGCCAGGAUUUUACUACCCUCAUUGUAAACAACUUUUGCCUCACAGCCAGCCUGAAUCUCCCUCUUUUAGUUUAAAACCAUAACCUCUCAUUUGAUUGCAACAGGCCCUGCUGAAAAGUAUCGCCCCAUUUUUCUUAUAGGCCUACCUUUUUUUUUUUUACUUGCAUAUACUUACAAGCAUUUUAAAUAUUUUGUAAUUCUUUAGGACAGAUAUAGCUGUUACAGGCUGAAGGAGAGUUAGCUGGCAUUCAGACUCUGCUAGAGAUUUAAUUAUGAUAACUGAAAUACCUUCAUUAGUCUUUGCGGCAGAUGGGUUGCAUGGCUUUCAAUAAUGAGUUAAGACUAAAUAAAGCAGUUGGACUGCUAAAACCUUUUUUAUCUUUGUAAAUAUUUUUUAUUAUAACGCUACAUAAUUAACAUACAUUAUUAUAAUACUACACAUCCUAAACUAAUGUCAUUUGAGUAAUGUUCUGAAAGAAUCACGAGGAGCAGUGAUGUAACAAUGACAUGGAAGCAUUCCUUCCUUACAUCUCACAAACUGUAUUGCUUCCUUUCCAUGGAGGUUGUGACCACUGAGGUACACCCCAAUAAAAUGCACACAAAACUCGACUUCUAUACCUGGAUUCACAGGUAGCUGUGUGAGAGUACUGACAGCAGCACAGUGAAAAAGCACAUAAAUAUUUGUAGUGUUAGGGCAUAAUAUUUUUCAAAUGCAGUUUUGUGUAAAUGUACACAGAUGCUGAACU